GGAGCAUGUGGUUUAAUUCGAUGCAACGCGAAGAACCUUACCUACUCUUGACAUCCAGAGAAUUCGCUAGAGAUAGCUUAGUGCCUUCGGGAACUCUGAGACAGGUGCUGCAUGGCUGUCGUCAGCUCGUGUUGUGAAAUGUUGGGUUAAGUCCCGCAACGAGCGCAACCCUUAUCCUUUGUUGCCAGCACGUCAUGGUGGGAACUCAAAGGAGACUGCCGGUGAUAAACCGGAGGAAGGUGGGGAUGACGUCAAGUCAUCAUGGCCCUUACGAGUAGGGCUACACACGUGCUACAAUGGCGUAUACAAAGAGAAGCAAACUCGCGAGAGCUAGCGGAACUCAUAAAGUACGUCGUAGUCCGGAUUGGAGUCUGCAACUCGACUCCANGAAGUCGGAAUCGC
rnacentral:rRNA from 1 species